GACGAACCGUCCAAACGUUAUUCGGAAUUACUGGGCUUAAAGGGUGCGUAGGCGGCUCUGCAAGUUGGGUGUGAAAUCCCUCGGCUCAACCGAGGAAUGGCGCCCAAAACUGUGGAGCUCGAGGGAGACAGAGGUGAGUGGAACUUGUGGUGGAGCGGUGAAGUGCGUUGAUAUCACAAGGAACACCGGUGGCGAAAGCGGCUCACUGGGUCUCUUCUGACGCUGAGGCACGAAAGCUGGGGGAGCGAACGGGAUUAGAUACCCGGGUAGUCCCUGAG
rnacentral:rRNA from 1 species